rnacentral:rRNA from 1 species
CUGCGAAUGGCUCAUUAUAUAAGUUAUCGUUUAUUUGAUAGUACCUUACUACUUGGAUAACCGUGGUAAUUCUAGAGCUAAUACAUGCUAAAAAUCCCGACUUCGGAAGGGAUGUAUUUAUUAGAUACAAAACCAAUGCCCCUCGGGGCUCUCUGGUGAUUCAUGAUAACUCGUCGAAUCGCACGGCCUUGCGCCGGCGAUGGUUCAUUCAAAUUUCUUCCCUAUCAACUUUCGAUGUUUGGGUAGUGGCCAAACAUGGUGGCAACGGGUAACGGAGGGUUAGGGCUCGACCCCGGAGAAGGAGCCUGAGAAACGGCUACUACAUCCAAGGAAGGCAGCAGGCGCGCAAAUUACCCAAUCCCGAUACGGGGAGGUAGUGACAAUAAAUACUGAUACAGGGCUCUUUUGGGUCUUGUAAUUGGAAUGAGUACAAUUUAAAUCCCUUAACGAGGAACAAUUGGAGGGCAAGUCUGGUGCCAGCAGCCGCGGUAAUUCCAGCUCCAAUAGCGUAUAUUAAAGUUGUUGUGGUUAAAAAGCUCGUAGUUGAAUCUUGGGCCUGGCUGGCCGGUCCGCCUCACCGCGUGUACUGGUCCGGCCGGGUCUUUCACUCUGCGGAACCACAUGCCCUUCAGUGGGUGUGGCGGGGAAGCAGGACUUUUACUUUGAAAAAAUUAGAGUGCUCUAAGCAGGCCAAUGCUCGAAUACAUUAGCAUGGAAUAAUAAAAUAGGACGCGCGGUUCUAUUUUGUUGGUUUCUAGGACCGCCGUAAUGAUGAAUAGGGACAGUCGGGGGCAUCAGUAUUCAGUUGUCAGAGGUGAAAUUCUUGGAUCUACUGAAGACUAACUACUGCGAAAGCAUUUGCCAAGGAUGUUUUCAUUAAUCAGGAACGAAAGUUAGGGGAUCGAAGACGAUCAGAUACCGUCGUAGUCUUAACCAUAAACUAUGCCGACUAGGGAUCGGACGAUGUUAUUUAGUUGACUCGUUCGGCACCUUACGAGAAAUCAANGUGCUUGG